AGAGUUUGAUCCUGGCUCAGGAUGAACGCUGGCGGCGUGCCUAACACAUGCAAGUCGAACGGAGUUACUUUGGUGAAGUUUUCGGAUGGAUCUGAUUUAACUUAGUGGCGGACGGGUGAGUAAUGCGUGAGCAACCUGCCCUUCAGAGGGGGACAACAGUUGGAAACGACUGCUAAUACCGCAUAAUGUAUUCGGGAGGCAUCUUCUGGAUACCAAAGGAGAAAUCCGCUGAUGGAUGGGCUCACGUCUGAUUAGCUAGUUGGUGAGGUAACGGCUCACCAAGGCUGCGAUCAGUAGCCGGACUGAGAGGUUGAACGGCCACAUUGGGACUGAGAUACGGCCCAGACUCCUACGGGAGGCAGCAGUGGGGAAUAUUGGGCAAUGGGCGAAAGCCUGACCCAGCAACGCCGCGUGAAGGAAGAAGGCCUUCGGGUUGUAAACUUCUUUUAAGAGGGACGAAGAAGUGACGGUACCUCUUGAAUAAGCCACGGCUAACUACGUGCCAGCAGCCGCGGUAAUACGUAGGUGGCGAGCGUUAUCCGGAUUUACUGGGUGUAAAGGGCGCGUAGGCGGGAAUGCAAGUCAGAUGUGAAAUCCAAGGGCUCAACCCUUGAACUGCAUUUGAAACUGUAUUUCUUGAGUGUCGGAGAGGUUGACGGAAUUCCUAGUGUAGCGGUGAAAUGCGUAGAUAUUAGGAGGAACACCAGUGGCGAAGGCGGUCAACUGGACGAUAACUGACGCUGAGGCGCGAAAGCGUGGGGAGCAAACAGGAUUAGAUACCCUGGUAGUCCACGCCGUAAACG
rnacentral:rRNA from 1 species